CCUCACUUUCGAUCAAUCGUUGCUCCAUGAGCAUUAUUUGGAUGCUAAAAGUGGGUUCCUGUGUUGCAUACCUAUCGUGAUGGAAAUUUGUCCAAUUCGUUGUCCUUUCGUCAUAGCAUCCAAAGGGAUGCUUCGUCGGACUAGAUAGUGGGGCUCGUGUUCCGUGAACAUCUCAUGUGAUUGUUCGGAUGGACCAUGAGUGCCUGCUUGUUCUCUCGGAUGCGGAACUUCGUUUAUGGGUAUGGGGUCAUUGGCCCUUGUUCCYAAAUCUCUAAGCGUUCGUCGCUUYGCUGGAAUGACGCUCUUGCCUUGUCUUGGACCAUGCGGAGCUCUCGAGCUUCGUAAUGGAUCAUGCUCGGCGGACGUCGUGAAGGAAUGCUACCUGGUUG
rnacentral:misc_RNA from 1 species